UACGGAGGGUGCGAGCGUUGUCCGGAAUCAUUGGGCGUAAAGGGCGCGUAGGUGGCCUGCUAAGCGUGCGGUGAAAGUCGGGGGCUCAACCCCCGAUCGGCCGUGCGAACUGGGAGGCUUGAGCACUGUAGAGGCAGGCGGAAUUCCGGGUGUAGCGGUGGAAUGCGUAGAGAUCCGGAAGAACACCGGUGGCGAAGGCGGCCUGCUGGGCAGUUUUGCUGACACUGAGGCGCGACAGCGUGGGGAGCAACAGG
rnacentral:rRNA from 1 species